CUAUUGGAAAAAGUGCGUACAGGAUGAAACCCCUGUGAGAUGGAUUUGCGCGGCAACUACUGGAUCGUGGUGGAUCAUUCAGACAUGUUUUUCUCCGUGGCAUAUCGAUUACCGCAACGCACGUUACGACUUUAUCUUUGCGGAAGACUCGAGCUGGGACGAACCUGAGGACGUCGGUCAUGGUGUCGUCAACGUACUGUCGGGCAGAUGUUUGCAGAUGGAUGACCCGAUCUCACGUUAAUGCAUCAGGAACAUGUAAAAAGGCAAUUUCGCUUUGAAAAAGAUUACAUCACCCGUGA